GGAUGGUCGAGCUUAUGUUCAGCUGUUCGUUACCAUCUUACGUGAUAUAUUUAAAGAAGAAACCGUGGAAUAUGUUUUGGCUUUGAUUUAUGAAAUGCUCUCAGCAAACCCAGCACGAGCUCGGUUAUUCCAUGAUCAAUCUUUGGCACAUGAGGAUACUUACGAGCCUUUCUUGAGGUUGCUGUCGAAGGGCAAUUGGUUCAUUCAAGAAAAAAAGCCGCAAGAUCCUUGCCUGGAUAAUAAGGUAUAGUUAUAGGCCAAAAGCUAGUGUUAUUGCAAAUGGAGAAGCUUCGGGUUCUAAGAAACAUAUUACUACAAUUGAUGAUUUACUCAGUGGAUUGGUGGAGUGGCUUUGUGCUCAGCUGAGGCAGCCUUCUCAUCCUACUCGUGGAGCUCCAGUUGCAAUCAGCUGCUUGUCCACACUGCUUAAGGAACCUGUUGUGAGAUCGUUAUUUGUUCAGGCAGAUGGGGUGAAGUUACUUGUCCCUUUGAUCUCCCCAGCAUCCACUCAGCAGUCUAUCCAGCUACUCUACGAAACAUGUCUCUGCAUUUGGCUUAUGUCCUAUUAUGAACCCACGAUAGAGUACUUGGCAACAUCUAGGACAAUGCUAAGGCUCACGGAAGUGGUCAAGAGCUCGACUAAGGAAAAGGUUGUGAGGGUAGUCAUAUUGACAUUCAUGAACUUGCUUCCAAAAGAUACAUUUGGUGCCUAGAUGGUUGAUCUUGGACUCCCACAUAUCAUCCACAGUCUGAAAACACAAGCAUGGAGUGACGAGGAUUUGCUGGACGCACUGAACCAACUAGAGGAAGAUCUAAAAGACAAGAUCAGGAAGCUGAGUUCCUUUGACAAAUAUAAGCAAGAGGUUCUUCUUGGCCAUCUUGACUGGAACCCAAUGCACAAAGAGGCCAACUUCUGGCGUGAGAAUGUCACUAGCUUUGAAGAAAAUGACCUCCAGAUACUGAGGGUCCUCCUCACAAUCUUGGAUACGUCAAGUGAUCCAAGAUCCUUGGCGGUGGCGUGCUAUGAUCUCUCGCAGUUCAUACAGUACCAUGCAGCGGGGAGAGUGAUCGUAACAGACCUCAAGGCGAAAGAGCGAGUGAUGAAACUGAUGGCUCAUGAGAACGCUGAGGUGACCAAGAACGCUCUCUUGUGCAUUCAGAGGCUUCUCCUUGGUGCCAAGUACGCUAGCUUCUUGCAAGUUUGAUGGGUGUCUUUCCAUGUUUUCUUUCUGUAUAAUGGGAAGUAACCAAAACACAAAGACUGUGUUUCAUUUUUAGUCAUGUGGAUUUGUUGUUCACACCAAACAAAACGUGCUUGUACACUCCCAAGACCAUCUCUUUUAUUAUAUGUCCUGGAAAAACCUGCUCUUGUAUGCUUAAAUAAUUGAUUUCUGCGAUGUGAUUUAUUUAUUCAAUAAAAAGAGCUUGAGGAAUGCUCUUGUUACAGAAAGCAAUAUUGGGCCGGUUUGUUGUAUGAGAAUGUUGUCAGAGCAUAAUGCAGAUGAGAGAUACAUGUAUAUGGUUUGAAUUCGGUUG